rnacentral:rRNA from 1 species
AUGCAACUCUAUAGAUAUCUGAUGAGCCGACAAGGACAGAAAGACUGCGGACAAGAACAGCUAUAUAAAAGCUCAAAGCGCGAAGGCUACAUUUCAGGAAAAUCCUUCAUGGAACAAGCAGGGAAAGGAGAUGCACAAAUGGAGGGCUCCAUGCUAAACGUGUUACUGGACGAAUGGACAGAACAGGAACAGUUCAACCCAGACGUCACAACUGUACUCCCUGCAGAAUUCGCAAAUAUGGUGCUAGGUCUCAAUUAUAAUAGAGGAGAGCUAUCAGAAUUCAACGAAGACGAUGCACUACAAGCAUUUGAACAACUUGUGCGAGGUAAAAACACCCUGCAUUCGAAGAUGAUCAUGAUACCUCAUCACACAGAGAACCACUACACACUAUAUGUAAUGAACAAGUACAGAGAUAGCAUCGACAUCCUUGACUCACUGAACUAUGUAAACUACGCUGAUUUGUCUUGGAGUAAACACCGUGUGCAUCGAGCAGAACUGAUGAGAAGGAUGUCGGUGCUGAUGAACAAGUACCGCCAACUAAAACACAAGAACGAACCAGACUGGGCAAGGAUAGCAGAAAGGCCUCACAGGGUCUGCACACCAAAGCAAGAAGGAACACAAUGCGGACACUUCACGGCCCAAUUUGCGAAACACUGGAAUGGGAAAGAACUGGUCAAGGACAGAGAGGAUUUUCAUCCCAGCAAGGUGGAUGCCGAAUGGAAACCAGAGUACGUAUACACACUCAUAUUCGGUAAAACCAACCAAAUAAAGCACCAUCAACUUCCUGGAAAAACCAAAGUUUUCAAACCAGAGACUAUAAACCUUUUUUCGCCCAUGAAAGAGCGAGACGAAAAAAACAGCAUCAAUCAAGGAGCACCAACAAAUACCCGCAACACCGGCAUUCGUUCAGACAUGUGCGUAAGGCAAACGAGCUCUAUGACAUAG